AAUAGAUACCCGGGUAGUCCACGCCGUAAACGAUGAGUGCUAAGUGUUAGAGGGUUUCCGCCCUUUAGUGCUGAAGUUAACGCAUUAAGCACUCCGCCUGGGGAGUACGGCCGCAAGGCUGAAACUCAAAGGAAUUGACGGGGGCCCGCACAAGCGGUGGAGCAUGUGGUUUAAUUCGAAGCAACGCGAAGAACCUUACCAGGUCUUGACAUCCUCUGACAACCCUAGAGAUAGGACUUCUCCUUCGGGAGCAGGGUGACAGGUGGUGCAUGGUUGUCGUCAGCUCGUGUCGUGAGAUGUUGGGUUAAGUCCCGCAACGAGCGCAACCCUUGAUCUUAGUUGCCAUCAUUUAGUUGGGCACUCUAAGGUGACUGCCGGUGACAAACCGGAGGAAGGUGGGGAUGACGUCAAAUCAUCAUGCCCCUUAUGACCUGGGCUACACACGUGCUACAAUGGACGGUACAAAGAGCUGCAAGACCGCGAGGUGGAGCUAAUCUCAUAAAACCGUUCUCAGUUCGGAUUGUAGGCUGCAACUCG
rnacentral:rRNA from 1 species